rnacentral:rRNA from 1 species
CGUCGCCGCGGGAAUACGUAGGGUGCAAGCGUUAAUCGGAAUUACUGGGCGUAAAGCGUGCGCAGGCGGUUUGUUAAGACAGAUGUGAAAUCCCCGGGCUCAACCUGGGAACUGCAUUUGUGACUGGCAAGCUAGAGUGUGGCAGAGGGGGGUGGAAUUCCGCGUGUAGCAGUGAAAUGCGUAGAUAUGCGGAGGAACACCGAUGGCGAAGGCAGCCCCCUGGGCCAACACUGACGCUCAUGCACGAGAGCGUGGGGAGCAAACAGGAUUAGAUACCCCUGUAGUCCCUGUCUCUUAUACA